AAAUGAAUAGACGGGGGCCCGCACAAGCGGUGGAUUAUGUGGUUUAAUUCGAAGCAACACGCAGAACCUUACCUAGGUUUGAAAUCCUACAAAUUUAUUAGAGAUAGUAAAGUGCUCGCAAGAGAAUGUAGUGACAGGCGCUGCAUGGCUGUCGUCAGCUCGUGUUGUGAAAUGUUGGGUUAAGUCUCGCAACGAGCGCAACCCCUAUCAUUAGUUGCCAGUAUUAAGUUAGGCACUCUAGUGAGACUGCCUGGGUUAACCAGGAGGAAGGUGGGGAUGACGUCAAGUCCUCAUGGCCCUUAUGUCUAGGGCCACACACGUAAUACAAUGGUCGAUACAGAGGGACGCGAACCCGCGAGGGGGAGCAAAUCUCAAAAAGUCGAUCUCAGUCCGGAUUGGAGUCUGCAAUUCGACUCCAUGAAGUUGGAAUCGCUAGUAAUCGCGAAUCAGAAGGUCGCGGUGAAUACGUUCCCGGGCCUUGUACACACCGCCCGU
rnacentral:rRNA from 1 species